AAAAACCCUGUAUACCCCUUUAAACAAUACAUAAACAACUACCUUAAUAUCUCGGCCAAAACAAAAGAAACAAAGGCAGCAGAAAUGAUAGAAAGAAACUUGCAGAAAAGCUUAUUGAGCAUCCAUCCUGCAAAAGCAAACGACUGCUAGCAUUCUGAUGUGUUCUUUCUUUAUCUUCGGACUGCAGCUGCAGCUUCCUGCUUCAUACUUUGAGUCCUACCAGUCCUUAAACUUCACCUACACAUUCACCUUGCCAGUCUCCACACACACCAUAAAGUUGCGUACAACAGAACUUGCAAUACUGCUUGUACCACCCUGCUGCUGUUCAAAUUAGGCCAUAACUCUAGGGCCCCCUUCACCUCAGACUGAGCCAGCACCCCUUGUACCCUCUGCUCAUGACAAGUAAGAACUUGCCACACCCUUCUGAUC
rnacentral:lncRNA from 1 species